CAAGAGUGGAGUUUGGUUCCCCUGUUCAAGUAACUCUGAUAUUCAGAUCUUUGGCUGCAGGGAUUCCCAGCUCACAAUUUUCGGAAAGUGAAAGGAACUUCUUAAGGAAAACACUAGGAGUGGAGUCUCCAUCUCUCAACCCAAGUGCUCAACCAUCACAACCGACACCCUGCAAAAGAGCCCUACUAGACAGUUUACAAUCAUAGAUCCCAAUAUCCAUAGGUUAUUUUCCCCUUUCUGAAUCCUUGACAUCCUUCUUUGCCUAGUUUGAGAAACAUUUCAAUUUUAUCCUGCCCUAAAACUUUGAAAGGCAUACCCUUGGUAAGAAUGUAAUGGUAUGUUCUUGCCAUCUUCAACAUAUCUAACAAUAUCCUUCCCUUCACUCAAGGGUUACCUCCUAGAUAAUGGCACCAAAAAUCAGUGUGCUUUUAGAGU